CGUGUGUGAGGGGCCCGAGGCUGAGGGGCCCGGCGGCCACAAACAGGAAUGUCGGGGCUUAGGCCCAGCUGGAAAUGAAGCAGCACGCAGCCUCUCGCUCAACCGCCCUCUUCCCCCGCCGCCCCGGUGAAAUGGGGAGGAGGCAUCUCGUGGGGCUCCAUCAAGGAAAUAAACCACAGCUGUGCUCCCCUUGUUUGGAUCUUGUCUGAUAAUCAGAAAAGUUCUGCAUCAUCCUGCCUAUCACUGGGUUUGAACAUGCUGCCUUUCACUGAGCACGUUCUUCUCUCUCUCUCCCUCUCUCUCCCUCCCUCUCCUUCCCUCUCCCUCUCUCUCCCUCUCUCCUUCUCCCUCUCCCUCUCUCUCCUUCUCCCUCUCCCUCUCCUCCGCUGAUCAGUUGCCUGGGACUACAGCUAUGAGCAUGCACAACACCCUGGGAUGGGCCUAUGGAGCUGGAGCUGACAGGGAGAUAAGAGUCCAGCUUGGCCAUGGUGUUCCAGCUUUGUCACACUGCCAUGGCACACACAGCACACUGGUGGCAGCAGCAGGAGAUUUGAAGUUUUAUCUGGAAAACUUUGUGCUUAAAUUACUUCAGGUUAUGAACCCUGGCUUGUGGGGUGAUGGCUGCCAGCCUGGCCUUGGGGCAACAAGGUGUGGAGGAAGCGCUUUGAUGGGCAAAGCUCUUUCACACCUGCUGGAUGUGAGCAGUGUAUGGGUUCCUCAGUGUGUGCAGCAAGGUCCAGCUGUGCCUGGUUGAGACAUAAACUUUGAAGAAUUCAAGAUUUUAGAGAAGCUAAGGCCUUAAUUAAAAAUAAGCUUUGCUAAAGCUAAUUAAAAUAAAUAGAUGGGCCUUGCUAAAAUUAAAGGUAGAGAGGCCUUGCUAAAAUUAGAGGUUAAUCAUUGGCUAAUAACCAAUUGUCUGUCAACUUUAUACUUGUUCAGCUGGGCUUAUAAUGAGAAACAAAGAAUACGGUAAGGAACUUCAAGAAUAUAAGACAAUUGCAAAUCAGAAACCCACUGAAGACAUGAAACUAGGGGCCCAGCCAAGGAUCCAUUUGUCACUUUGCAUUGAAAAGGUAGAAAGGUCAGAACGAGGAAGAGCCAUAUCCCUUCUUCCCUUUUGUGACCUCUACUCAUAAAAGGACCACCAACCCAUUUCAAGGAACAAACUAUGCACUUUUUUCCUAAUUAGCAUAAGAAGUAGAAAGUGGGUGGCAACUGGGUUAUGAAUAUGUAUUUGUAUUCAAUAUUUCUGUAAAUAAAAAGCCUGUAUUCACCUGUA